AUGACCGAAGCCACCGAGCGGGCCCCCGUUGUCCCCCUGCAUUCCUUUCCCCGCCAUCUCCCUCUUCCCUUAUUCUCAUUUCCCAGUUUACUCUCAUCUCCCUCUAUCUCUCUUGCUCUCUAUUGCAGGGAGGCCGCCAUGGACGCCCGAGGUCCUCCGCUCCGACCCAUGCCCCGGCGGCCCUGCCGAAGUCGUCGCCUAGGAAGACCACCAUGCCCACUGCAGGAACUUCGAGCCGACCCUGCAGCAUGGAGACCGCCACCGCCCAUCCGUUGUCGGGAAUCGCCGGAUCCGGCCCCUCUCCGGCCUGCCUCGCCGUCCUUCAUCCGUUCCCGAUAUCUUCCCGGCGCCAGGAGCUCAGGCGAGCGCCGCCACAAGACCCUGCCUCCUCUGCCCCGUAGCUCGCCAUGGAGGUCGUCGCCUCUCCAUCUCAAUCCACGAUGGUCUCCUCCAGGGGCCCGCCAUGGAGGUUGCCGCCUCUCCUGUCUCGAUCCGUCUGCCGCCGGAUCCACGGCGGAGCAGCCGAGAUCCGCCGCCCGUUACGCGACGCCUCGGCCCACCAAGGCCAGCGCCGAGGUCGACAAGGCGCGCAGGAAGGCCAAGGCCCUCACCAAGCAACGGGAGGGCUUGCGGGCUAGGCUCGCCUACCGCAAGCGCGCCCGCAAGCUCACCUCCAUGCCGGCCAAGGCCACCGCCGCGACGCUAGUUUUUUUUAAAACGAAUAGUUUCCCAGAUCCACUUAAUAGGGAUUGCGGGUUGAUUUUGUAG
rnacentral:rRNA from 1 species